GCAUUGGUGGUCCAAUGGUAGAAUUCUCGCCUGCCACGCGGGAGGCCCGGGUUCGAUUCCGGGCCAUGCA
rnacentral:tRNA from 1 species